AAAGUGCUGGGAUUACAGGUAUGAGCCACGGCACCUGGCCAAGCCUGUCUUACGUUACGUGCCACUGAAUCCUCACACCAAGCUGGGAAGGUAAACACUCUUUCAAACAUUUCAAACAUCCUGGUCUCAACUCCAAUCAUUCUCAAAGUGUGGUCCCUGGACCAGAAACAGCAGCAGCAGCAAGUGGGAACUUCCUGAAAAUGCAGAUUCUCAGGUCCUGUUCCAGGCACGAUGAAUGGCAGUGGGGUCCAAAAGCUGUGUAUUGUUCUCUCUUUUUCUUUUUGAAACAGGGUUUUGCUCUGCUGCCCAGGCUGGAGUGCAGUGGUGCAAUCUUGGCUCAUUGCAGCCUCUACCUCCUGGGCUCAAGCAAUCCUCCCACCUCAGCCUCCUGAGUAGCUGGGACUAGAAGCAUGCUCCAUCAUGUCUAAUUUUUAUUUUUUUAAAUUUUUGUAGAGAUGGGGUCCUGCUAUGUUGCCCAGGCUGGUCUUGAAGUCCUGGGCUCAAGCGAUCCUCCUGCCUCAGCCUCCCAAAGUGCUGGGACUACAGACAUGAACCACCACGCCUGGCCUUUUUCCGUUUUCUUUUUCUUUUCCUUUUUUUUUUUUUUUUUUAUUUUUUGAGACAGAGUCUCGCUCGGUCACCCAGGCUUUAGUGCAGUGGCGCGAUCUUGGCUCACUGCAACCUCCACCUCCCAGGUUCUAGCGAUUCUCCUGCCUCAGCCUCCCGAGUAGCUGGGACUAGAGAUGCAUUCCACCAGGCCCGGCUGAUUUUUUGUAUUUUUAGUAGAGACAGGGUUUCCCCAUGUUAAUCAGGCUGGUCUGAAACUCCUGACCUCGGGUGAUCCACCUGCCUCGGCCUCCCAAAGUGCUGGGAUUACAGGUGUGAGCCACCACGCCCAGCCCAAAAGCUGUGUUUUAACAAGCGCUCCCAGGGAU
rnacentral:lncRNA from 1 species